rnacentral:rRNA from 2 species
GUGCGAGACCGAUAGCGAACAAGUACCGUGAGGAAAAGAUGAAAAGAACUUUGAAAAGAGAGUUAAAGAGUACCUGAAACUGCUGAAAGGGAACCGAAUCGUAUCCAGUGUCUAUAAUCCAUGGCAUAUUUCAUUGGCGAGUGAGUGCGUGCAGCGUUUUGGAAGUGGUUUUCCGCUCCUGUCGUUGUUGUGCAUUUGCUUGCUGGUGCCCUGUGCUGUGGUGGGACGUCAGAGUCAGUUUGUGUGUCGCGGGAAAUGGUUAUUGGGGAGGUAGGUCGCUUCGGUGGCUAUUAUAUCCUGGUAACUAGUCGUCGUGGCUGAGACUGAGGUGCCUACAAUGUGCUUUCGAGUGUGCGGGUUUCUCGUGUGGCUGUUUGCUUUGAUAGCUUGCUAUGUUGGUGAAUAAGUUGUGCGAUUGAGACCUGUAUUAACUUGUUGCUGUUCGGGACUUUGA